UGCUAGUGCUGACACUCAUUUGUCCUUCACCAAUAUCUCCAGUGUGUCUCAUGGUCUCAAUCAGCCCAGUGCAUCUGGCAGUAGUUUGUCCAGCACGUCCUACAGUGCAUACCUCGACCUAUUUGAGGAAGAAUACCACUCUGAUGACCCUGAUCUCCAGGAAGCCAUUUCAAGGUCUUUGGAUUGCAGAGUAAAUGAGAGUGAUUCAAGGAUGGCUUUAGAGACAAUUGCCGAACAGAUUUCUUCAAGGGUCAUUGAUGCCUGCACUGUACACUUCAAUAUCAUAAGAAGAAAUGUGUGGGAUGGUGCAUCCAGAGCAGAUCAAAUUUUUCAC